UACGUAGGGUGCAAGCGUUAAUCGGAAUUACUGGGCGUAAAGCGUGCGCAGGCGGUUUUGUAAGUCUGUCGUGAAAUCCCCGGGCUCAACCUGGGAAUGGCGAUGGAGACUGCAAGGCUAGAGUUUGGCAGAGGGGGGUAGAAUUCCACGUGUAGCAGUGAAAUGCGUAGAUAUGUGGAGGAACACCGAUGGCGAAGGCAGCCCCCUGGGUCAAAAACUGACGCUCAUGCACGAAAGCGUGGGGAGCGAACAGG
rnacentral:rRNA from 1 species